GACGCUGAGGAAGUAAGCGAUGGCCAUGGCCACUUUCACCCAGAUCUUGGCUGACAUGUUGGCGUGUUUGGCCCGCAGCUCCCCGGGGUAACUCGGCCUCCGCUUCGUGUCUCCGUUCGGCGUCUCCGAGGACAUCCCGACCUGCCUGCCGACCGCUUUCAUCUCAGAACCAGCGCUGGGAUCUUCUCCUGGGAUAGGUCCUCAGAUGGAUGUUGACUGUUCAUUUGAGUCCAGACAGUACUGAUUCUUUCUCACCCUCUGGUACUGGUGUUGGUCGCAAAGCAGCGGUCCGGAUCCGGCCUUCCCGCUCCAGGAGAGUCCGCGGGACGUUGCAGCUCCCUGACCCCGCAGAGUCCUCUGAGCGCACCGGGCAAACUGGACUCACCGAUGCUUUCCAGGCAAGAGCUGCAUGGGACCGCUGUCAAGCUGAAAGAGAGGAGACAGAGUCAUUUUAAAGUCGGUAAUAAGAUCCAAACCUGAGGAUGUCUGCUCUGAAGACGGUCCUGCUUCAGCUCCUGGAGCAUCUUCGUGCCCUGCGGGCGUCGCCUCGUCUUCUUUCCUCGCCGCCGCUUCGAGGGAAAUCUGCUCGGCCUCAACAGACACAGCAGACGCAGGAGGGUCCAACUUGUCUUCUGACAGAGAGACAAUGAAAGUGACUCUGGGAUCCGUGGGGGAAGCCUGACGUCGAGCGAAGCACCGCUGCACAGC